UACAGAGGGUGCGAGCGUUAAUCGGAAUUACUGGGCGUAAAGGGCGCGUAGGCGGUACGGCAAGUGUGGUGUGAAAUCCCCGGGCUCAACCUGGGAAUGGCGCCACGGACUGCUGUGCUGGAGUACUGUAGAGGGCAGUGGAAUUUCCGGUGUAGCGGUGAAAUGCGUAGAGAUCGGAAGGAACACCGGUGGCGAAGGCGGCUGCCUGGACAGAUACUGACGCUGAGGCGCGAAAGCGUGGGGAGCAAACAGG
rnacentral:rRNA from 1 species